UACGUAGGGGGCAAGCGUUGUCCGGAAUCAUUGGGCGUAAAGCGCGUGUAGGCGGCUAGGUAAGUCUGCUCUGAAAGCCCGGGGCUCAACCCCCGGGAGGCGGGUGGAUACUGUCGGGCUCGAGUCCGGAAGAGGCGAGUGGAAUUCCUGGUGUAGCGGUGAAAUGCGCAGAUAUCAGGAGGAACACCAAUGGCGAAGGCAGCUCGCUGGGACGUGACUGACGCUGAGACGCGAAAGCGUGGGGAGCAAACAGG
rnacentral:rRNA from 1 species